UCCCCCGCCAGCAGGGGGCAGCACAGAGCUGCAGCUUCCGUGUCCAGGUGUGUGUGUCUUGCAGAUGUUGGCAGCUGUGGACAAAACGCUCCAGGGAAGCUUCUUCAUCACGGUUCAUCCGGUUUAACAGACAAAAUGAACAUCAUUCACCUGACCAGCAUCUUCUUCACUUUGCUGACCAUCUUUGGGCGUCAUGGUGCAGACUCUGAUCCGUGCACCGAAGAAGCAUGUGAAUUGAAAUACAAUAACUUUCUCAAAAGACAUGUUCUUCGGGAGAAUUUUGAUAGAAAUUCUGAAACAGCAUGGAAAAGCUAUUUGGACAAGAAGCAGCUGUUGAACCGACCCGGAGCCAAGGUCCAGUCCUUCUUGGAGCCCAGCCAGAAUGUGGAGGACAUCUGCACCAAUGGCUGGCGGGUGUUGAAUGGAAGAAGUAAAAACCUGUGCAUCAGCAGGUCAGAUAUGACCGUUUAUGAUGUGACAACGAGAGACAACAACGGACAACUGAUCCCUCCGAUUCCUAAGCCAAGAAAGGGACCUGUGAUUGUGGCGUGUGAUAAGGUUGGAAACCGCUGCCUUCCUGUUCACUAUGAGAAAUACACAAACCAACAGGCGACAAAGAUUCCCUGCUGAAAUCGAUGAGAUUCAUAACUUCACUGAGUUCACUUCAAUUGCCUCUGAAUAAGAAAGGCAUUAAUAUCAGCUUGAUUCCUAUCAAAUACUUUAUGCUGUGUUUUGUUCACUUAAAUCUAAAACAAAUUGACCUUCUUCAUUAACACUGCAGAAUGCUUCACUUUCAAAUAAGGAUGGACCAAUAUUGAUACCGGUAUCGGGUCUGAUGCUGCAGCUGCUCUCAUACUUAUAAACCAUCCCCAGUACAACCCGGCUGAUACUUUCUAACGUCUCGCUGUGUGAUUCAUUGUUGAUAUCAGGCUGUGAAUAAAGUCAAUCUUUGAAAACUGA